UCACCGGCGGUCUCUGAUUCGCUUGGUGCAGGUCGGGAACCGAUUCGCAGCUCCGCUCACCGGGCGGUUGCGCCGCUUUGAGAUUCCUUUGCUCCGAGCGCAUAUCGAAUCCCGCCUUGCAUCAACUGAAUCGGAGGCCGGCGGUGAAA
rnacentral:pre_miRNA from 1 species